rnacentral:rRNA from 1 species
AACGGACGCUGGCGGCAUGCCUAACACAUGCAAGUCGAACGAGACCUUCGGGUCUAGUGGCGCACGGGUGCGUAACGCGUGGGAACCUGCCCUUAGGUUCGGAAUAACUCCCCGAAAGGGGUGCUAAUACCGGAUAAUGUCUUCGGACCAAAGAUUUAUCGCCUUUGGAUGGGCCCGCGUUGGUUUAGCUAGUUGGUAGGGUAAAAGCCUACCAAGGCGACGAUCCAUAGCUGGUCUGAGAGGAUGAUCAGCCACACUGGGACUGAGACACGGCCCAGACUCCUACGGGAGGCAGCAGUGGGGAAUAUUGGACAAUGGGCGAAAGCCUGAUCCAGCAAUGCCGCGUGAGUGAUGAAGGCCUUAGGGUUGUAAAGCUCUUUUACCCGGGAUGAUAAUGACAGUACCGGGAGAAUAAGCUCCGGCUAACUCCGUG